rnacentral:rRNA from 1 species
CAGCGCCACAAGUGGCAUCCACGUUUAUUGGGCCUAAAGCGUCCGUAGCCGGUUUGAUAAAUCUCUUGUGAAAUCGUCAGGCUCAACCUGACGGCGUGCAUGAGACACUGUCAAACUCGAGACCGGGAGGAGUCAAAGGUAUUUCAGGGGGAGCGGUAAAAUGUGAUAAUCCCUGGAAGAUCACCUAUGGCGGAGGCAUUUGACCAGAACGGAUCUGACGGUCAGGGACGAAGGCCAGGGGAGCGAACCGGAUUAGAUACCCGAGUAGUCC